GUGAAAUCCAAAAUGGCCGACCAGAAUGAAGAAGACACUUCUCCAGCGGCAGAUAUUGUCGUUACCAAGUACAAAAUGGCCGGAGAUAUGGUCAACGGCAUCAUGCAAGAACUGGUAACAAAAUGUGUUGCUGGAGAGAAAAUAAACACCAUCUGUGACUUUGGGGAUAGCAGAUUACAGGAGGAGACCAGCAGAGUGUUUAAGAAGGACAAAGAAAUGAAGAAAGGCAUUGCUUUUCCAACAUGUGUUUCUGUCAACAACUGUAUAUGUCAUUUCUCACCUUUAAAGAGUGACCCAGAUAAGGAACUUGCUGAUGGAGAUGUUGUGAAGAUUGACUUAGGGGCACAGAUUGAUGGGUACAUUGCUGUCAUUGCACACACACUUGUAGUUGGUGCAUCAAAGGAAAACAAAGUGAAGGGAAGGAAAGCUGAUGUCAUCAUGGCUGCCCAUUUAGCAUCAGAGGCUGCACUCCGAUUGGUCAAACCAGGAAAUGAAAAUAAUAUGGUAACAGAGGCUGUCCAAAAGGUUGCUGAAUCAUAUAAAUGUAAACCCAUUGAAGGAAUGCUUUCACAUCAACUGAAAAGACAUGUUAUUGAUGGGGAAAAGGCAAUAAUUCAGAAUCCCUCCGAAGCACAAAGGAAAGAACAUGAGAAGUGUGAGUUUGAAACAUAUGAAGUGUAUGGAGUAGAUGUUCUGGUCAGCACAGGGGACGGCAAGGGAAGAGAGCAGGAAACACGAACAACAGUGUAUAAAAAGAAGGACAUGAUUUAUCAACUAAAGAUGAAGGAAGGCCAAGAUGGGAGUUGUUGAAUGCGUCAAGCAUGAACUGAUGCAGCCUUUUACAGUUCUUUAUGAAAGAGACACCGAGUUUGUAGCACAAUUCAAAUUCACGGUAAUUCUGAUGCCAAAUGGCCCUUUGAAAAUAACCGGCCUAACAUUUGAUGAAGAAACAGUUGUAUCUGAGUGUCAAAUAGAAGAUGAAGAUCUUAAGGCCUUGCUUACUCAAUCUGCGUCCAGAAAGGCUGCCAAGAAGAAGAAGAAGAAGGCAGGAAAAUCAAUGGCUGAAUCGGCAGAAAAUGCAGAUUAGGAAAAACCUUAUUGUCUUCAGAAUUUUUUGUGAUGGUGCAUAGCGGACAGACUCAAGAAGUUGGACACCUGUGCGAAGAAAAUGGUUAUUUAAUUCAAAACAGAAUCUACACAAGCGAAAAUGGAUAGUGGCUCAUUAUUCUAUCAUUUUGAUGGGGAUGGACAGAGAUAUUAGCAUUGUGUUUCGAAGAUCAUACCAUGAAAUCAUUUUUUGUCGAACAGGAAUAUGUAUUGGUCUGUCCAUGGCAAAUACACUAGUCCAGAUUAAUAUUCAGUCUUUCUAUUAGAAAGAUUCCAUUUAUAGUAUUUAUAAAAUAUCUUUUGGAUUACCGUAAUAAUCUGUAUUUAAUUUGAUGAAAAAUUAAUGGUUUGAUUUUUAUUUCAAUUUUUGAGGAUAAAGUAUUUAUUUGUCUGUAUUCCUCAUGCAUAAUUUGACAGGACAGUGAUACAUCAUAAAUUACCCUAGUGUAUGAAAUCUGGUAAAGGUGUAAAAGUCUGCUGAAUAAAAGUGCUAUUCU
rnacentral:misc_RNA from 1 species